rnacentral:rRNA from 1 species
CCUACGGGGGGCAGCAGUGAGGAAUAUUUGUCAAUGGGCUUACGCCUGAACCAGCCAAGUCGCGUGAGGGAAGACUGCCCUAUGGGUUGUAAACCUCUUUUGUCAGGGAGCAACGCCGGCUACGUGUAGCCGGACUGAGAGUACCUGAAGAAAAAGCAUCGGCUAACUCCGUGCCAGCAGCCGCGGUAAUACGGAGGAUGCGAGCGUUAUCCGGAUUUAUUGGGUUUUAAGGGUGCGUAGGCGGAAUGCCAAGUCAGCGGUAAAAUCGCGGGGCUCAACCUCGCUCCGCAGUUGAAACUGGCGGUCUUGAGUGGGUGAGAAGUAUGCGGAAUGCGUGGUGUAGCGGUGAAAUGCAUAGAUAGCACGAAGAACUCCGAUUGCGAAGGCAGCAUACCGGCGCCCAACUGACGCUGAAGCACGAAAGCGUGGGUAUCGAACAGGAUUAGAUACCCCUGUAGUC